CACACAGAGAAGACAAGAAUACCAUGUGAAAACAAAGAUAGAGCUUGGAGUCAUGCAACCACAAGCCAAGGAAUAUCUAGAGCCCUAGAAGCUGGAAGAGCCACGGAAGUUUUCUUCCUUAGAGCUAUUAUCUGUAACCAUUUUUGGACUUCCAGCCUCCAGAAUUGUAAGAGAAAGCAUUUCUAUGAUUUCAGUGUGUUGCAACAACCCUAGGAAGCUACUAAUAAUACAGAAGGCAAGUCCCUCCUUAACAGGGCACCUGAAAGUUGCUACAGAGAUCACUCAUCAAACAUGUCCAUUAGGCAACUGGAAUCUAGAACGUUCAAAGACUGCUGUGCAUAUUAUAAUCCCUAAGGAGCAUGUGAGAGGACUUCAAAAAGCUUGUGGAAAAAUGAAGUGUGAGUUUAUUUUGGCACAAAUUUUUUUUUGAAAUUCAUGUAUAGUUUUUUCAUGAUACAAAUUUUCCAUUAACUUUUUUGAACACUCCUAUAUUUUUGAAUAAACUAGCAGAAGGUGAAGUUUUCGUAAGUGAACAAUUUGAAGUCUAGAAAAUGAUUAGCGUCACUUCAAAGGAUUGGGUGCUUACAUUUACUACCAUUUCACAAGAAUUUUUUUCCUUCACAUAAAGAAUUAAAGAGACUCUUGACUAUCAAAUGAAGAGGGGCACUUCCCAGGAGAUACUAGAGGAAAGAUGCUACAAAAUGAAGGAGAAAGGCCUAGAAACAAAGAUGUGCUCCUGCAGGAGGAAACAGAAAGCCUUUCUCUCUUUCCGAUUCCCGAGGAUGGUAACAGUGGGUCAAAUGGUAUUUCCAAAGACAUGGAUGGCCACAUCCUUAUUGUUGGAGCCUGGGCAUGUUAGUUUACUAAGGGUCAUUCUAGAUGUGAUAAAGUUAAAGACCUGGAGAAGAUUUAUCUUGGCGAUCCCUAAAUUCCAUUACAAGUAACCUUUAAGAAAAUGAGGCAAGUGACCAGCAGAUAUUGAAAUGGUUACAUCAUUGGA